AGAAAAAUUAAAAGGGAAAGUUUCGGUAGUGGUGUAAAUAAUAAAUAUUUAUAUAUAGGGUUAUAGACUCGUAGAUAUCUGAUUUAGUUGUUACGAUAAAACUAAAAAGGUAAAAAAGCACGGUAUCUUUAAUUUGCUAGGCGAAACUUGCCAUACUUACCUUCAUCUCCAUAGAAGCAACUUUUUUUGUUCAUGUAUAAAAAAACCAGAUUUUUUUUUUCGUUUCUUAAGUAAAAUCUUUUUUUUUUUUUUUUGGAUAGGGCCCCUGAGAGCUCAGGUCCGGCUCUGUCUGAAAGGUUACGAAAAGAAAGAUAACCGAUAACGUACGAUCUCAUGCUUUCUUUAGAGCUCAAAGAUAGUGAUUAGAGUUAGGUUUUUAUCUUACAUUAGAGAGGAAGUCUUUUAUAACUAGUUAUGACAAUGAAAACAUUAAAACUAUCUCUUCAACACAUAGGUUAAUUAUAUAAGUAAUAUAAGUUUUUUAUGUGUGAGUAAAUAUUAAAGAAAGUAAUUGAAAGCGGCAGCAAAUCAAAG
rnacentral:lncRNA from 1 species